CAGCAGCCGCGGGAAUACGUAUGUCACGAGCGUUAUCCGGAUUUAUUGGGCGUAAAGCGCGUCUAGGUGGUUAUAUAAGUCUGAUGUGAAAAUGCAGGGCUCAACUCUGUAUUGCGUUGGAAACUGUAUAACUAGAGUACUGGAGAGGUAAGCGGAACUACAAGUGUAGAGGUGAAAUUCGUAGAUAUUUGUAGGAAUGCCGAUGGGGAAGCCAGCUUACUGGACAGAUACUGACGCUGAAGCGCGAAAGCGUGGGUAGCAAACAGGAUUAGAUACCCGCGUAGUCCCUGUCUCUUAUACA
rnacentral:rRNA from 1 species